rnacentral:rRNA from 1 species
UACGGGGGGGGUAAGCGUUGUUCGGAAUUACUGGGCGUAAAGGGCUCGUAGGCGGCCAACUAAGUCAUACGUGAAAUCCCUCAGCUUAACUGGGGAACUGCGUCUGAUACUGGAGGGCUUGAGUAUGGGAGAGGGAUGUAGAAUUCCAGGUGUAGCGGUGAAAUGCGUAGAUAUCUGGAGGAAUACCGGUGGCGAAGGCGGCAUCCUGGACCAUUACUGACGCUGAGGCGCGAAAGCUAGGGGAGCAAACGGG